GUGCCUUAAACUAAUGAGUAAGGAAAAUAACGAGCCUUGGUAACGCUAGGCUCUCACAAAAACUUUUUGUGAUUUAUUUUUGGAGAGGCAC